AGACAAGAGUCGCGACCUGAAGACAUCGGUACAGAAAUCGUGACUUAAAAUCACAGCGUCCCCUGGUGGCAACAGCAAAUGUCUUGUUUUUCUAUGUGUUACAGUUUGAUUCACUACUCGUAGGGCCUUCAUUAAAUCAACGUAAAAAUUUGAUGCAUGUGUUCAAAACAAGAUGAAGAUCUAAAGUUAACGAAAUUGCAACUUUUCAUAAUACUGUGUGACCGUGGUGUGGCUUCCAGUUUGAGGAAUGAAAACAUCUAUAUCUGGCAGAUGUGCUGCAAUAUUUAGUCACUAGAUGGCAGUGUCAGACCAUGGAUUGUGUUAUCUAUGCAUUAACAGACUGUGUUUACAGGGUGGCCAACUUUAGAGGAGAAUUAAACCUUUUACAGCAUUGCUCAAACUUUGGUUUUAGUCUCAAUCGCUAAGUUCUUCCUUCAUGACAACUCUGAGGGGGGUGUAUUUUAUUUUAACUCCCUCGUUUAAGCGAUAUAGAUGUUUGAAAUUCACGUGACGUCACAGUGUAAGCUGUGCUGUGUGUUGUGAGUUCGGCUUCAACCAGCUACAAGUGAACGCCUCAUGAAAUGGCUUACACCCACAUACCCGGUAAAUUACACACUUUGAUGUUCUGCUCCUUCUCCUGACGGUCACGGUAACGAUGUCUGCGCCUCCGUUUCUGUGGAUGUCCAGCGUGAGACACAACUUGAAUCCAACCAGACUGAACACUGACUCCAGGUACAGACCUGUUUUCAUUACUUACAAAGUAUUGCACAUAAUACAUAAUGUGUUAAAUUAUAAUGCAAUACUUUUAAUGUGAAAUAGCUCCAUACUAAACAUUCAUUGUCAUGGUAGUGCACGUUUUAAUCCAAAAGCAUAUUCAAAUACAUAGUUGAAUAUCCACCGAAAAUAAGAAUACACACUUUGUUCAUAUGUAACUCUAAUAAAUACUGUAUAAGUUAUAUUUUGCUCCGGAAU